rnacentral:rRNA from 1 species
CCUACGGGUGGCAGCAGUGGGGAAUAUUGCACAAUGGGCGCAAGCCUGAUGCAGCCAUGCCGCGUGUGUGAAGAAGGCCUUCGGGUUGUAAAGCACUUUCAGCGGGGAGGAAGGCGUUAAGGUUAAUAACCUUGGCGAUUGACGUUACCCGCAGAAGAAGCACCGGCUAACUCCGUGCCAGCAGCCGCGGUAAUACGGAGGGUGCAAGCGUUAAUCGGAAUUACUGGGCGUAAAGCGCACGCAGGCGGUCAGUCAAGUCGGAUGUGAAAUCCCCGGGCUCAACCUGGGAACUGCAUUCGAAACUGGCAGGCUAGAGUCUUGUAGAGGGGGGUAGAAUUCCAGGUGUAGCGGUGAAAUGCGUAGAGAUCUGGAGGAAUACCGGUGGCGAAGGCGGCCCCCUGGACAAAGACUGACGCUCAGGUGCGAAAGCGUGGGGAGCAAACAGGAUUAGAUACCCGUGUAGUC